UACGGAGGAGGCAAGCGUUAUCCGGAAUUAUUGGGCGGAAAGCGUCCGUAGGUGGUUGACCAAGUCGGCUGUCAAAGGGUGGGGCUUAACCUCAUAAAGGCAGUGGAAACUGGUGAGCUAGAGUGCGGUAGGGGUAAGGGGAAUUCCCAGUGUAGCGGUGAAAUGCGUAGAGAUUGGGAAGAACAUCGGUGGCGAAAGCGCCUUGCUGGGCCAGCACUGACACUGAGGGACGAAAGCUAGGGGAGCGAAAGGG
rnacentral:rRNA from 1 species